rnacentral:rRNA from 1 species
GUAAGAUGACUGUAGGUGAAAGCUUACAUCUCUUCGGAGCAUUUUUACGAGGUGCUGCAUGGUUUGUCGUCAGCUCGUGCCGUGAGGUGUCGGGUUAAGUCCCAUAACGAGCGCAACCCCUACCUUUUAGUUGCCAUCAGGUAAUGCUGGGGACUCUAAAGGAACUGCCUACGCAAGUAGUGAGGAAGGCGGGGAUGACGUCAAAUCAGCACGGCCCUUACGUCCAGGGCUACACACGUGCUACAAUGGCCGAUACAGAGGGCAGCUACCUGGUGACAGGAUGCAAAUCUCCAAAGUCGGUCUCAGUUCGGAUCGGAGUCUGCAACCCGACUCCGUGAAGUUGGAUUCGCUAGUAAUCGCGCAUCAGCCAUGGCACGGUGAAUACGUUCCCGGGCCUU